ACAAGAAGGGUCGAGUGAGACCAGCAAGUUAGAUAGAGGGUGUUUUUAUUUAUUAAUAAAAUAGAGAAGAUACACCUGUAGUUUCAGCUAACGAAGCUUAUUCGCUAGCUAACGUUAGCUGGGAGGAUUAACGGUUACCUAGCUUUGGUUAACGGCUUGUAACGGUUGGUAACACCUGUCAGGGGGUUGAGCAGCAGAGAUGGAGACAUAAAGUCCCCUGAUGGAGAGGAAGAGCUCUGGGGAUGACAGCAGCGGUGGAGAGCGAGGUCUGCUUCACACCUGGAAGGGCUACUCAUACAGCGUCACCCCAGAGAGGCUGCUCCUCCCUGGGCCUGUCCUGCAGGUCGCCCUGGGCACACGGCAUGGCGUUCUGUUGGUGGAAGGAGGGCAGGUGUACAGUUUUGGGCAGUUGACAUGGCGGCAAAGUCAAGUGCUCGAGCUGGCGAAACCCAUCCUGGAGAGCGCGCUCGGCGGCCAGCGGGUGGUUGCCGUUGCAGCUGGAAGCUUCCACAGCGGGGCCGUGACGGAGGACGGUGGCGUUCACAUGUGGGGGGACAACGCUUCGGGGCAGUGCGGCUUGUCGGGCCUCAGCACCGUCCCCAAUCCAACGCCGGUCGCUCUGGUGGACGCCGACUCAACCCCCCCGCAGACCGUCCCAGUGCUGGAGCUGGCCUGCGGGGAGCAGCACACCCUGGCGCUGUCGGCCCAGCGGGAGGUGUGGGCGUGGGGCAGCGGUUCUCAGCUGGGCCUCAACGUCGCCGUCUUUCCCGUCUGGAAACCACAAAAGGUCGAGCACUUGGCGGGCAGGUAUGUAUUACAGGUGGCCUGCGGGGCCUCACACAGCCUGGCCCUGGUGCGCUGCUUGGGCCCUCAAGACAUCCACCGACCCCCGGUGGACAAAUGCAGACAGUGUAACCAGCUGCUGUACACAAUGACGGACAAAGAGGACCAUGUCAUCAUCUCUGACGGUCACUACUGCCCACUCGGUGUGGAGCUGACUGAGAAUGAGGGUGUGCUGGAGGCACCUGCUCUGACACAAGGGCUCAAAAUGUCCCCGUCUGAGCCGGUCCUCCCCUCCCAUACCUCCACGUCAAACUCUCCAGCACCUACUAAAGGCGCUGACCUCGCUCAGUGCUCGGAGAAAGAGGAUUCAGCCUUUGCCAACGGAGCGCUGACGGCCUCGGACUCUGCGCCCUCGGCUCAGUCUGGAGUCGGUGUUGUUUUGGGGGUCAAGAGUUCAGCCUAUCCAGACGAGCAGACCGUCCAAGACUAUCUAAGGAAACUGUUGGAGGCUGAGCAGAUGGCGAAGGCGGCUGCUGGAGGAACGCACGCUCUGCUGGCCUCAGAAGGAGGGCUGGCCUCCUCCUCUCCCAGCUCCACGCUCAACAGCCUGGUGGCCUCCUGCGCCUCUGCAGUGGGCGAACGGGUCGCCUCCACCUACGAGGCCUUGUCCCUCAAAAAGAUGAUGACCUACCUGCCCUCAGGUGUGGGGAGGUCACGCGGGCCGGCGGGGCUCAAGGGUGUCGUGGGUGACAACACAACGGAGCGCGUCCGCCUGGAGGACUCGAUGCACGCUAAGAAGAGCUCCAGCACAGGGGACAUCCGCGAGGAGGAGGCGGAGGGUCUGCGGCGGCGCCUCUCUCUACCAGGACUCCUCUCUCAGGGUAGAUACGCUGUUCACCUCUUAUCCACCUCCUAUAACUUGAUGCUGUCCCCGCGGCUGCUGAGGAAAGCCUGCCGUCCGAGGAUGCGUGCAGUCGUCCUCACCCCACUGGGAGGGUCGAUCCCUAAGGCCCAGGAGGUGUUUCCCACCCUGCAGACGGAGGUGUGGAGUUGGGGCCAUGGAGAGCACGGACAGCUGGGCCAUGGAGACAGUCUGGCCAGAUUACAGCCGCUGUGCAUCAAGAGUCUGAACAGUAAGGAGGUGGUGCGAGUGGUGGCCGGCGCUUAUCAUUCCCUGGCUCUGACUGCUCAGUCUCAGGUGUUUUCUUGGGGAAGUAACAUAUUUGGUCAGCUUGGACACAUGGAGUCACCCAGCACGGUCCCCCGCCUCGCAAAGCUGUCGGAGGGGAUCCGGGUCUGGGACAUAAGCGCCGGAGAGAGACACACCCUCCUGCUCGCAGACGGAGACUGCUUCCGGCCCAUCAUCUAUUACAGCGGGCAGCAGGUGAAGGAGGAGGCGAAGGAGAGCCACGUCAAGAAGCUCGGUCAACAGGAAGAAGGGGAGGGGGAGGAGGAGGAGGAGGAGGAGGAGGAGGAGCAGCAGCAGCAGCAGGCGGGGAGCUACAGCCAGCAGCCUGUGCUACUACCGUUCUGCAUGGACCUUGGUUACGUGAGUAACGUGUUUGCAGGCGGCCAGUGCUGCGUGGCGCUCUCGGACAUGAACGUGAUGGGCUUCAUCGCCAGCCUCCAUGAGCUGGCCUCAGCUGAGAGGAAGUUCUACUGCAAGCUGUGUAACAUCAAGACGCAGAUAAUACGCCCCCUGCUGGAGCUGGAGUCUCUGAGUUCGGCCCUCGGCCAGGCGGCUACUGGGCUCCUGCACACUUUGGUCGGCCGAUUCAGCCUCUUGUGUCAUCUGACGGGGCAGCACGCCGCCAGCCUCACCGCCAACCUCCGCCGCGUCCGCGACGUCAACAGUCUGCUCGUCCUCGACCACGCCAGCAUCUUCCUCGACUCUUACAAUGAGUACUGCAGCGCUGUGGGCAACUUCCAGGUGAUGGGAGGUUUCCACACUCUGACCAAGCCCUCACUCGAUUUCUUCGGGAAGAGCCCUGAGCUGCUCAAGAGGCUGUCGGAGUGCAGCGAGGAGAACCCCACCAUGGCCGACCUCCUGGUGGUGCUCUUCUACCUCCCAACUCGCCACCUUCACGAAUAUGGCCGGCUGCUGCUCAAACUGGCCACCUGCUUUGAAGUGUGCUCCAAUGACUACCAGAAGCUGCAGGACAGCUGCUCCAAGUUUGAAGCUUUGGCCCUCAAUCUGAAGAGAAAAAUGAAGGAUGCUGACUACACCUUUCAUUUCUGGAAGAGCUUCCCCGGCAAAAUGACGGACUCUCUGCGGAAGCCUCACCGCCGGCUGAUCUGCGAGAGCAGCAACAAAGCGCUGACGCUGCAGAAUGCCGGGAGAUUCUCCGUCAACUGGUUCAUCGUUUUCAACGACUCUUUGGUUCACGCACAGUUCUCCACCCAUCAUGUCUUCCCCUUGGCUACGCUUUGGGUGGAGCCCAUCCCAGAGGAGAUCACGUGCCUACAUGGUCUAAAGGUGAUCGCACCAGAGGAGACGUUCACCCUGCUGGCUUCCUCUCCCAUGGAGAAGACCAAGUGGCUUCGCUCCAUCAACCAGUCGGUGGACCAGGCCCUGAGCGGGGGGGCUCAGGACAACGUGUCAGGCGGCUCGGGUCACAAGCCGGAGCCCCCCAUCUCCAGGACGGCCUCUCACACGUUUUAUAAGGACGGACGGCUGAAAGAGGCGACGUACGAGGGACGCUGGCUCGCCGGGAAGCCCGACGGCAGCGGCGUGUUAAAAUGGCCUGAUGGGAGAAUAUACACAGGGGCGUUCAAGAAUGGACUGGAAGACGGCUUUGGAGAAUUUGUGGCUCCCAAUAAGACACUCCACAAGAACGAUCAGUAUCUCGGUCACUGGAAAGAUGGCAAGAUGCACGGCCUCGGGACAUACAGGUAUGCCAGCGGUGAGGUUUACGACGGAUCCUUCCAGGACGGCAUGCGGCACGGCCACGGCAUGCUGCGCAGCGGCAAGCUCAACACCUCCUCCCCCAGCGUCUUCAUUGGCCAGUGGCUGCAGGACAAGAAGACCGGCUACGGAGUCUUCGACGACAUCACAAAAGGGGAGAAGUACAUGGGCAUGUGGCAGGAUCACCUGCGGCUGGGCACCGGCGUCGUCGUCACUCAGUUUGGCCUUUAUUAUGAAGGAGCCUUCAAAGAUAAUAAGAUGAUGGGUACCGGGAUCCUCCUGUCAGAGGAUGACACCAUGUACGAGGGGGAAUUCUCUGACGACUGGACCCUCAAUGGAAAGGGAACGCUCACGAUGGCCAACAGCGACUACCUCGAAGGCUCCUUCAACGGCGAAUGGGGCUCGGGCCUCAAAGUGACGGGGUCCUACUUCAAGCCACACCUGUUUGACACCGACAAGGACAAGACCCGCGCUGUGAAGCUGGGGUGUCUGUGUGUGUGCGCGGAGGACAAGUGGCGGGCGGUGUUCGAGGAGUGUUGGAGUCGGCUGGGCUGCGAGGCGGCGGGUCGAGGAGAGAACUGGAAGGCCUGGGAGAACAUCGCCGUGGCCCUCACCACUAGCCGACAACACAUCGCAGACAGUCCGGAGACGUUAUCUCUAAGUCACAGCAGAACCCUGGAGAGUCUGGAGGGCAUCCCAAAGCACGUCGGACCGAUCACCAUGGAGAGACACCACACCAUCCACCUCUACCUUCUAAUGGCGUGUGACACCCCGCUCCACCCGCUGGGUCGGCUGGUGGAAACCCUGGUAGCGGUCUACAGGAUGACCUAUGUGGGCGUUGGAGCGAAUCGUCGACUGCUGCCUCAGGCUGUCAACGAGAUCAAGUCCUACCUCAACCGCAUCUUCCAGAUCGUCAGGUUUCUUUUCCCAGACCUGCCAGAAGAGGGCGGUCUAAUUCCCGAGCCGACCACCAACCUCCAGGACAGGAAGGAGCCAAGCUCGACCGAUGCCCCACUAGACUCUCCAAAACCUGGUCGUGUGGUGAGCAGCUCAGCUCUGCUGCUUCCCGUCCUGCUUCCUCGUCUCUACCCGCCACUCUUCACCCUCUACGCGCUGGAAAAGGAGAAGGAGGACGACGUCUACUGGGAGUGCGUCCUCCGCCUCAACAAGCAGCCCGACCUGGCGCUGCUCGCCUUCCUGGGUGUUCAGCAAAAGUUUUGGCCUGUUUCUUUUCCCGUCUCCAUGGCUGCACUGGGGGAGAAGCAGCAGGUCCUCUCCAGCACCAAGGACCCGUGCUUCGCCUCUGCAGUGGAAACACUACAACAGAUCAGCACGACAUUCACCCCGUCGGACAAGCUGCAAGUGAUCCAGCUCACUUUUGAGGAGAUCACCAAGGAGGUCCAGUCGCUGCUGAAGCAGGACUUCCUGUGGUCCAUGGACGACCUUUUCCCCGUCUUCCUCUACGUGGUGCUGCGUGCACGGUCAGCUAAAACUGUUGCACACUAUUGCUCAAAUAUUAUGAUGAGAGGGCGCCAGAAAGCAACGCUGUUGAUAGAAAUGAAAACUGUGAGGAAAUACACAAACAAUUGGAAAGAACUUAAGAAAAGUGGUGCUGAACGCUUUAAGUUUAAUUAAUUAAUUUUGUUUAUUGGCAUAAUUAUUUUUGAGAAACAAAAAAUGUUAGGAUACAAUGUUUUUAUUUGCCGUACAUCAAAGUAAAUAUCUUAACUUGUGGACGGUUGAUCGGGCAAAACAAGACAUUUAAACACAUCACCUUGAGUUUAGGGAAAUUUAUAACGGGCGUUAUAAUAACAGAUUAUAAUGAGGAGAUUAAUCGAUAAUGAAAAUUAUUGUAGCGGCAUCAUUUCUGAAAGAAAUCUACUUGUUUGUAGUGGAACCCCUAUUUCAGAUUCAGAUUCCCUUAAUUGUAUGAAACAUACAAAUAUGAUGUUCUCAGAAUUAGGAACUUGGGGUCAGAGGUGAGCCUGAUUGAAGACCUGAUGGACCCCUGCGUGCAGCACGGAGAGCAUGGAAUCAUGUUCACCACGCUAAAGGCUUGUUACUACCAGAUCCAGCAUGAGAAGAUCACUUAAGACGAGCAGGGCUGUACUUUCCUACUACCUACUACAGCCAAUCGGAGGGCCAGGAUCAGAUAGGCUUCAGGAUGACGAAUGCGAGCAGCGGCCAAUGGGAAGCAGAGGAUCCUUUGAACAGGUUGUUGACGGCUCCAUCUGCUGCGGGGACCUCCUCCACACUCUUUCACCUUUUAGUGACCUGGACCAGCCUCAUAUCCACUGAUCAUCAAAGUACACAUGUGAAUAUUGUCUGUGUUUUACUGCUAGAGAUGAGCCACUCUAUACCGUCCAAUUUAAACUCUCCACAGCUGAAAGACUGACUUCCUGUGGGAAAUCCUAAUGUCACCUCGGGGGAAAAUUCAAGGUUCAUACUGGUGUCUUUCUUUUAGUGCCAAUGGGAAUGGUUUGUUCUCUGGUUCCUCUGCUCACAGUCAUCAUGCUGUGAGAUAACUGACCUCUUUUUCUUCCUGCAGAAGAAUCAGUUUUUUCUGCAUGGAAAAUCUUCCUUUUUAUCCUGCAGUGUUUCAGGUCAUUUCCGCCUCUUGUUAUUCAGCUGACACCUACAUGAAGAAACGGACAUAACAAGGAAAUAAUCUCAUGAAAGCACGUCACUUUAUCAGAUUGACAGCGUCCCUGUCAUCUGAGACAACAGUAUGUUUAUUUUUCUAAUUCACAGCUGCUUCCCUGAGCUUUUCUCUAGGAACUCUUGGGGCUAGUUCACAGCCAGGUUUGAUACUGUAUUAUAAAUGUAAACUGACUUGAUUAUAACUCUAAAUUAUACUCUCAUUCUCCUGUCACACCAGCAGAAUAAAGUUAAACCCAGUUAGUGGCUGAAUUAGCCGGCUAUAACACCAAUUUGUUGACUGCACAUAAGUUUUACAAAAAUGGACGAAGGUAAAUCAAAAGUUCUUAAUGUAAAAGAAAAAAGCUCUUUGUUUUCAGAAUUGACAAAAUAGCCAAAAACAUGUUGUUCUUUCUAAACAUCACUGCUGUUCAGGAACAAUAAUGCAUCUCCAAAGUUGGUCAUUUUGAAUUUGUCAGCUUAACUGAAAAAUGAAGUUGUCCUUUUUAUAAAAUGCUAAAUCAUCUUUCUCAAAUUAAAUAAACUCUUAAAUAAACAGUAUAUGUUAGAUGACUGAACAUGUGGCUGUUUUGGGGAUGCAUGUUUUAUUAUUUUACUGGACAUGAUUCUUCCCAAAGCUCCAAUCCUCAGUAAACAUUUGUCUUUUCUCUUUUUUAACAGUGGGUUCACCUUCAGAUAUUAUCUCUAUUUCCACUGACACAUAUAAUAGAAAUUGAGUUUUUGGGACCUGAAACUCUUCGUAUUGAUUGUAUUGUUGUGAAUAACACUGUUGCAUGCAGGUGGGGAGAGAAGGCAGCACAUUCCUCAUGAAGCUAACCACCAUAUCAAGUCUUACUACACCUGUUUACCUUUUUAAAAAUAACCAAUGCAAAAGGUCAAACUUUGCUUCAUUUGGGGGUUUUUUUCCACCAGAGAGCCGAGCAGUCGGCUUAAUGUAAACACAUUUUUUUAUAGACGUGAUGGUCAAAGAGUCUCCGCACCAUCUGGUGAUGCGCACUGUUCUUCUUUUUUUUUUAAACCAAAAACCACUGACUGUCAGACAUUGUUGCUUAUUCGUGAUUUGAGUUACAAAUGCCAGUUUAUAAAAGGCUUAAGAGAUGGAUUCAGAGGAUGACCCAGCAUUUUUUUUUUCUAUUUUUAAUAUCAUGGCUUUUGUUUUCUCAGAUGCUUUAACAAUAAAUAAAGCCAGUGGAUCAGAAGCUUCCUUUUUGAAAGGGGACUAUAUUUAGGUGAGGCUGCUGCAGGAUCGAGCAUCAGAAAAUGACUCAAACAGUUAUAAUUUAACAUUUCUGUCGUUGAACAUGCUCAAUAACAAUGCAAACGAUUAUCAUUGGAACUGUGAAAUGCUGUGAAUUUAACACAUCAUCCCAACAUCGGUAGUUACAUCACACGUCUACGACUGUAAAAAACAAUAGUGAUGGUGCUCCUCCAUCCCUGGUUAUCAGUGCUUGUUUCUGUGGACCGCACUUAAUCACAGGACGUGUUACUGUCUUCGUGACCAAGAAGUUCGUGCCCAAAGUGCUAUGGACACACAACAAGAAGGAAACGUUCUCCAGGGAUACGGUCGGGACUAUUCUUUAACUGACACGAGGUUGUAUUUUAAAUCCAAACUGAAGAUAAUGUUCAUAUGUUGGGUUCAUGUCCUCAACACAUGUUUACUGAAAGCGCCCCACGUACACACGACUGUUGGUGUUUGGUGUUUAUUAGUCAACAUGUAGUGUUUCAGCUGGCUGACAUGAGUCUUACCUGUGUCUUUUACAUGAUGUCAAAUGUAUUGAAAAAAACAAGCGGCAAUAAACUCAUUUGAUGGACGUCGCUAACUAA